rnacentral:tRNA from 1 species
CCGCGCGUAGCUCAGUCGGAUAGAGCAGUGGACUUCUAAUCCACAGGUCGCAGGUUCGAAUCCUGCCGCGCGGA